rnacentral:rRNA from 1 species
UACGUAGGUGGCGAGCGUGGUCCGGAUUUACUGGGUGUAAAGGGCGCGUAGGCGGGGCUGCAAGUCAGAUGUGAAAUCUGGGGGCUUAACCCUCAAACUGCAUUUGAAACUGUGGCUCUUGAGUGAUGGAGAGGCAGGCGGAAUUCCUAGUGUAGCGGUGAAAUGCGUAGAUAUUAGGAGGAAUACCAGUGGCGAAGGCGGCCUGCUGGACAUUAACUGACGCUGAGGCGCGAAAGCGUGGGGAGCAAACAGG